rnacentral:rRNA from 1 species
UACGGGGGGGGCAAGCGUUGUUCGGAAUUACUGGGCGUAAAGGGCGCGUAGGCGGAUGGUACAGUCAGACGUGAAAUUCCUGGGCUCAACCUGGGGGCUGCGUUUGAUACGUGCUGUCUGGAGUUCGGAAGAGGGUCGUGGAAUUCCCAGUGUAGAGGUGAAAUUCGUAGAUAUUGGGAAGAACACCUGUGGCGAAAGCGGCUCGCUGGACCACAACUGACGCUGAGGCGCGAAAGCUAGGGGAGCAAACAGG